AGCGAACGCUGGCGGCGUGCUUAACACAUGCAAGUCGAACGUGAAAUGUAGCAAUACAGAGUAAAGUGGCGUACGGGUGAGUAACACGUGGGUAAUCUACCAAAGAGCCUGGAAUGACCGACCGAAAGGUUGGCUAAUACUGGAUAGUUCAAAUGAAAUAUAAUGUUUCGAUUGGGAAAGGGAGCGAGCAAUCGCCUUCACUUUUUGAUGAGCCCGCGUCUGAUUAGCUAGUUGGUAGGGUAAUGGCCUACCAAGGCGACGAUCAGUAGCUGGUCGAAGAGGAUGAUCAGCCACACUGGAACUGAAACACGGUCCAGACUCCUACGGGAGGCAGCAGUGGGGAAUCUUGCGCAAUGGACGAAAGUCUGACGCAGCCACGCCGCGUGAGUGAAGAAGGCCUUCGGGUUGUAAAGCUCUGUCGGAAGGGACAAAAACGUUUAAGGUUAAUAGCCUUAGAUCUUGAUGGUACCUUCAAAGGAAGCACCGGCUAACUUCGUGCCAGCCGCCGCGGUAA
rnacentral:rRNA from 1 species